CGGUGUUUAACUGGCGUGAUGUGGGACGUCCUACCGGUGGGCUUAGCCUCGCGAGGGGCGGCCCAACUAAUAUCCCGUCGCGGUGCUCUUUACUGAGUGUCGAGUCGGGCCGGUACGUUUACUUUGAACAAAUUAGAGUGCUUAAAGCAGGCUAUCCUCGCCUGAAUACUGCGUGCAUGGAAUAAUGGAAUAGGACCUCGGUUCUAUUUUGUUGGUUUUCGGAACCCCGAGGUAAUGAUUAAUAGGGACAGAUGGGGGCAUUCGUAUUGCGACGUUAGAGGUGAAAUUCUUGGAUCGUCGCAAGACGGACAGAAGCGAAGGCAUUUGCCAAAAAUGUUUUCAUUAAUCAAGAACGAAAGUUAGAGGUUCGAAGGCGAUCAGAUACCGCCCUAGUUCUAACCAUAAACGAUGCCAGCUAGCGAUCCGCCGAAGUUCCUCCGAUGACUCGGCGGGCAGCUUCCGGGAAACCAAAGCUUUUGGGUUCCGGGGGAAGUAUGGUUGCAAAGCUGAAACUUAAAGGAAUUGACGGAAGGGCACCACCAGGAGUGGAGCCUGCGGCUUAAUUUGACUCAACACGGGAAACCUCACCAGGCCCAGACACCGGAAGGAUUGACAGAUUGAUAGCUCUUUCUUGAUUCGGUGGGUGGUGGUGCAUGGCCGUUCUUAGUUGGUGGAGCGAUUUGUCUGGUUAAUUCCGAUAACGAACGAGACUCUAGCCUGCUAAAUAGGCGUACCUUAUGGUAUCGCGAAGGCCCCCGGCUUCGGCCGGUGGGUUUUUACUACCAACGUACAAACAAAUCUUCUUAGAGGGACAGGCGG
rnacentral:rRNA from 1 species